rnacentral:rRNA from 1 species
GACGAACGCUGGCGGCGUGCUUAACACAUGCAAGUCGAACGGAAAGGCCCUGCUUUUGUGGGGUGCUCGAGUGGCGAACGGGUGAGUAACACGUGAGUAACCUGCCCUUGACUUUGGGAUAACUUCAGGAAACUGGGGCUAAUACCGGAUAGGAGCUCCUGCUGCAUGGUGGGGGUUGGAAAGUUUCGGCGGUUGGGGAUGGACGCGCGGCUUAUCAGCUUGUUGGUGGGGUAGUGGCUUACCAAGGCUUUGACGGGUAGCCGGCCUGAGAGGGUGACCGGCCACAAUGGGACUGAGAUACGGACCAGACUCCUACGGGAGGCAGCAGUGGGGAAUAUUGCACAGUGGGCGGAAGCCUGAUGCAGCAACGCCGCGUGCGGGAUGACGGCCUUCGGGUUGUAAACCGCUUUCGCCUGUGACGAAGCGUGAGUGACGGUAAUGGGUAAAGAAGCACCGGCUAACUACGUG